UACGUAGGGUGCAAGCGUUGUCCGGAAUUAUUGGGCGUAAAGAGCUCGUAGGCGGUCUGUCGCGUCGGACGUGAAAACCCAGGGCUCAACCCUGGGCCUGCGUUCGAUACGGGCAGACUAGAGUUCGGUAGGGGAGACUGGAAUUCCUGGUGUAGCGGUGAAAUGCGCAGAUAUCAGGAGGAACACCGGUGGCGAAGGCGGGUCUCUGGGCCGAAACUGACGCUGAGGAGCGAAAGCGUGGGGAGCAAACAGG
rnacentral:rRNA from 1 species